AAGAAAAAUCCCGCAAAAUUCUUCAAGUCUCCUCCAAAUCCCACAAAAUUCAAGAGAAAUCCUCAAAAUUCCACAAAAAUCCCACCAAAUUCCAGAACCAUCUCACAAAAUCUCAACAAAUUGCCACUAAAUUCAAGAAAACUCUCACAAAGUUCUUGAAAGCCCCUCAAAAUUCCAGAAAAAUGCCACAAAAUUCCCUACAUCUUCUCAAAACCCAACCACAUUCCUGCAACAUCCCACAAAAUCUCCACCAAUAUCCAAAAAAUUGAAGAAAAAUCCCUCCAAAUUCUUCAAGUCUCGUACAAAUCCCAGAAAAAUCCCACAAAAUUCCAGAAACAUCCCACCAAAUCACCUCAAUAUCACCAAACAUUCUGGAAAAGCCUCACAAAAUUGCAGAAAAAUGCCACAAAAUUCCCUAAACCUUCUCAAAACCCUACCAAAUUCCUGCAACAUCCCACAAAAUCUCCAACAAUUUCCACAAAAUUCAAGAAAAAUCCCUCCAAAUUCACUGAAUUUCCUCAAUAUCCCACCAAAUUCCAGAACCAUCUCACAAAAUCUCAACAAAUUUCCACUAAAUUCAAGACAACGCUCACAAAGCUCUUGAAAGCCCCUCAAAAUUCCAGAAAAAUCCCACAAAAUUUCCUACAUCUUCUCAAAACAUUACAAAAUUCCACAGACAUCUCACAAAAUCUCCACCAAUUUCCACAAAAUUCAAGAAAAAUCCCGCAAAAUUCUUCAAGUCUCCUCCAAAUCCCACAAAAUUCAAGAGAAAUCCUCAAAAUUCCACAAAAAUCCAACAAAAUUCCUUCCAUCUUCUCAAAACCCAAACAAAUUCCUGCAACAUCUCACAAAAUCUCCACCAAUUUCCAAACAAUUCAAGAAAAAUCCCGCAAAAUUCUUCAAGUCUCCUCCAAAUACCACAAACAUCCCACAAACAUCCCACAAAAUUCAAGAGAAAUCCCAUAAAAUUCAAAAGAAAUCGCACAAAAUCCUGUACAAGCCCCACACAAUUCCCUAAAUCUUCUCAGAACCCAACCACAUUCCUGCAACAUCCCACAAAAUCUCCAACAAUUUCCACAAAAUUCAAGAAAAAUCCCUCCAAAUUCACUGAAUUUCCGCAAUAUCCCACCAAAUUCCAGAACCAUCUCACAAAAUCUCAAUCAAA
rnacentral:lncRNA from 1 species